rnacentral:rRNA from 1 species
UACGGAGGGGGCUAGCGUUGUUCGGAAUUACUGGGCGUAAAGCGUACGUAGGCGGCUUUGUAAGUUAGAGGUGAAAGCCUGGUGCUCAACACCAGAACUGCCUUUAAGACUGCAUCGCUUGAACGUCGGAGAGGUGAGUGGAAUUCCGAGUGUAGAGGUGAAAUUCGUAGAUAUUCGCAAGAACACCAGUGGCGAAGGCGGCUCACUGGCCCGGAACUGACGCUGAGGUGCGAAAGCGUGGGGAGCAAACAGG